GGUUAAGCGACUAAGCGUACACGGUGGAUGCCUAGGCAAUCAGAGGCGAUGAAGGACGUGCUAAUCUGCGAAAAGCGUCGGUAAGGUGAUAUGAACCGCUAUAGCCGACGAUGUCCGAAUGGGGAAACCCAGUGCAAUUCGUUGCACUAUCGUUUGAUGAAUCCAUAGUCAAACGAGGCGAACCGAGGGAACUGAAACAUCUCAGUACCUCGAGGAAAAGAAAUCAACCGAGAUUCCCCUAGUAGCGGCGAGCGAACGGGGAGCAGCCCAGAGUCUUAAUCAGCAUCAGCAUCAGGAGAACGGUCUGGAAAGUCCGGCAGUAAAGGGUGAUAGCCCCGUAUCCGAAGGUGUUGGUGUUGUGAACUCGACGAGUAGGGCGGGACACGUGUUAUCCUGUCUGAAUAUGGGGGGACCAUCCUCCAAGGCUAAAUACUCCUGAUUGACCGAUAGUGAACCAGUACCGUGAGGGAAAGGCGAAAAGAACCCCGGCGAGGGGAGUGAAAUAGAACCUGAAACCGUGUACGUACAAGCAGUGGGAGC
rnacentral:rRNA from 1 species